GGGGGAGUGAGUUAAUGGUUUAUGCGCGCGGUCUCCAAAACCGUGAAUCCGGGUUCGAAUCCCGGCUCCCCCG
rnacentral:tRNA from 1 species